rnacentral:misc_RNA from 1 species
AAGUCGUAACAAGGUUUCCGUAGGUGAACCUGCGGAAGGAUCAUUAUCACAAAUGAUUUUAACUCUCUUAAUCCAGAGUUAACCUCUUCUUAAACCAAUCUAACAAAAUGUGAAAUCGUUUUAUAUGUAUAUAUAUUUUUAUAUUCUCGCAAGAGAAUAUAUAUAUAUGUAUAUAUAUUAUUAACCAAUUGAACCUUUUUCUAUAUUGUUAUUUUAAUUAAAUUUAGUACUGAACUAUAUAUAUUGUUAUUCAAUAACAAUAUUAUAAUACAUUACGAAACAAUUUAAAUAAAACAACUCUUAGCAACGGAUAUCUUGGUUCUC